UACGUAGGGGCCGAGCGUUGUCCGGAGUUAUUGGGCGUAAAGCGCGCGCAGGCGGCCUCGCGCGCCCGACGUGAAAGCCCCCGGCUUAACCGGGGAGGGUCGUUGGGGACGGCGGGGCUUGAGGGCGGGAGAGGGUGGUGGAAUUCCCGGUGUAGUGGUGAAAUGCGUAGAGAUCGGGAGGAACACCCGUGGCGAAGGCGGUUCUCUGGGCCUGUACUGACGCUGAGGAGCGAAAGCGUGGGGAGCGAACAGG
rnacentral:rRNA from 1 species